GGAAAAGGUGUCACAAACACUUGUGAAGUUUGUGAAAGGAGCCUUCUUGAUUCUUUUCGGUUCUGUUCUCUUCUCUUGGUUGCAAGAUGCUGGAUGGCAUUUAUCUUCACUUGAGUUUCAUUCUACCCUUCACAAUGAUACGAGACGAGAGAACACAGACAGAAUGACUCAAAAUGGCGACAUAAUGCCUCUCUUUCGUUUACUCUGUAAUGCAAUGGGAUGGAUAGGUUUGUGGGAAUAGAGAAUUUUGAAUAGAAAGUGAAACUUGGCAACGCCCUAUAAAUAGCAGCGAUGAUGUUGUCAUCAUAUACCCAGUCUCUGCCUUCCAUGAUGAGGCCAUCCAAUAUCCUUCCUCGCAGAGACCACUCUGCCGUUGACAACUAUCACAGCGUUAACAUUCCCGACCCU